CUCCAGCUGACGUGUCCCAAACAGGACGAAACUCCCUUCCUGGAU
rfam:Schistosoma curassoni strain Dakar, Senegal genome assembly, scaffold: SCTD_contig0010269